rnacentral:tRNA from 1 species
AGCGAAGUGAGCGUAACCGUAAGACCGCGAGUGACCGGCUCAUAACCCAGAGGUCGCAGGUUCGAAUCCUGUCCCCGCUACCA